CCUACGUGAGGCAGCAGUGAGGAAUAUUGGUCAAUGGGCGCGAGCCUGAACCAGCCAAGUAGCGUGAAGGAUGACUGCCCUACGGGUUGUAAACUUCUUUUAUAAAGGAAUAAAGUGAGACACGUGUGCCUUUUUGUAUGUACUUUAUGAAUAAGGAUCGGCUAACUCCGUGCCAGCAGCCGCGGUAAUACGGAGGAUCCGAGCGUUAUCCGGAUUUAUUGGGUUUAAAGGGAGCGUAGAUGGGUUGUUAAGUCAGUUGUGAAAGUUUGCGGGUCAACCGUAAAAUUGCAAUUGAUACUGGCAGUCUUGAGUACAGUUGAGGUAGGCGGAAUUCGUCGUGUAGCGGUGAAAUGCUUAGAUAUCACGAAGAACUCCGAUUGCGAAGGCAGCUUACUAAACUGCCACUGACAUUGAUGCUCGAAAGUGUGGGUAUCAAACAGGAUUAGAUACCCCUGUAGUC
rnacentral:rRNA from 1 species